rnacentral:SRP_RNA from 1 species
GCCUGUAGUCCUAGCUACUUGGGAGGCUGAGGCAGGAGGAUCACCUGAGUCUAGGAGUUCUGGGUGGGUGUCUGCACUAAGUUUGGCAUCAACAUGUGACCUCCUGGAAGUGGGGGAAUCACCAGGUUGCCUAAGGAGGGGUGAACCAGCCCAGGUUGGAAAUUGAGCAGGUCAAAACUCCCGUGUUGAUCAAAGUCACAAGAGUUGGAAGAGGUAAAGCUGGGGCCCACUCUCC